UUUAACAAAAAUCCCUUUGCAGGGCAUGGCCAGUACUGUGUUAGCUGCAGGGCUGGUUUGGGCUGUGUAAGCUGUGGGCUGCUUCCAGGGAGCAAGGGUGCAUCACAGAUGGCCCUGUCCUUUCUGUAAGUGUUCCUUUCUCUUAAUCACCCCUUUCUCUCAAGUGAGCAACUGAAGCUAACUGCAUCCUGUGCUGCAGUAAUAGAGGAGUGGGUGUAGGUAGAGAUAGUUGAUUGUCUGCCUCUAAUCUCCCCCUAUUAUGCCCCACUUGGAGUACUGUGUAAAGGUCUGGAGCUCCCAGCACAAGAAGGAUGUUGAUCUGUUAGAGCAGGUCCAGAGGAGUGCCACAAAUAUGGUCAUGGGGCUGGAGCAGGUCUCAUAUGAAAAAAGGCUGAGAGAUCUGGGGCUGUUUAUCCCACAGAAGCAAAAGCUUGCAGGUGACCUCAUUGCAACCUUUUAGUAUUUGACGGGGGCUUGUAGAAGGGAUGGAGAGCAACUCUUUACUCAUUUGGAUGUUGACAGGAUGAGGGGGAAUGGUUUUAAACUAAAAGAGUGGAGAUUUAGAUGAGGGGUUAGGAGGGCCCAGGUGGGGCACCACUUUCUUCACUCAGAGGGUGGUGAGGCACUGGUACAGGUUGCCCAGAGAUGUUGUGGAUGCCCCACCCUUGGAGGUGUUCAAGACCAGGUUGGAUAAGGCUCUAAUCAACCUGAUCUCUUGGGUGGCAUCCCUGCCUAUGGCAGGGGGUUGGAAUUAAAUGGUUUUUGGUGUCCCUUCCAUCCCAAGCUGUUCUAUGACUAUUAAAUUAGUGUAUAACCGAGUAUGAAAAGCCUGAAAACUGAAGCAUUGUGCUAAGGUGGUAUUAGGUCCUGUCUUCCAGGUAAACCUUUGAAGAACAAGAAUUUGAAAAGGCAAUAACCAAAAUGAGUACAACAUUUUUUUUUCUCAUAGUACAUGAUCCGCCAGUUUAAAGCACCAAUGCUUUUCGCGUCUGUGUGACUGUGUGUGUGUGUGAGGAGGGGUGGUGCUUCUUUUCUGUGUACAAGCGUGGGAGGAGGGCUAUAUAUAAAAAGGUUAGAGAAUACAUUGUGGAAUUCCCUAAAAUCUCGGAAAAUUGUCCCAUGUGAAGUCUGAGUCAUGGCUCACUGGAAAGCAAGGGUAAUAGGAGGGGCAGUGCUGAUCUUAUUUUAAAAAAAUAGCAAUGCCUUCUGCUUCGUGAAAGAACCUGUAAAGUGGACUAACAUUACAAAGAGUCCCAAGCCCCCAGUGGUUCCAAAAUCUAAGAACAACGUUUAGCUGUCUUCAAUACUGUGAUGUGACUGAGCUGUCAGCACAGAGGUGAUGCAGAAGCAGGUCACCCCUGAGCAUCAAUCGGUUGUGCUGGAGUUAGACCAAAAAUACAGGAUCCAUCAGGCUACAUCCACCCCACGAUGCAGUGCCUGGAGAGAUACUGCUAUGAAAGACGUACCAGCGGACAUGCCUAUGUGGCGUGGAGAAGGCUUCUCCUUUCAGUCCGGAGAAGAUGAGGCUCGGUCUGCUUAGUGGAGGCCUCUCUCCCGCUCCCUGAAAGGAAGUUGUGGGGAGCUGUGGGCCGGCCUGUUCUCGCUGAUAACGAGCGAUAGGACAAGAGGGGCCGCGGCCCCGCGGGGGGCGGUGUGGGCCGGGCGUGGGCGGGCGGAGCGGUGGGCGCUGCCCCGGCGAGGGCCCGACUUGUGGUGCGGGCAGGAGCGGCCCGAGCUUGGCCCCGCUCUGCUGCUGUCCGCCUCCCGCCGGGCGCGGCAGGGCCCGAUGGCGGGCGGGCUGGGGCCGCGGCUGCUGGCCUUGGCCUUGGCCUUGGGGCCGGCAGGUACAGUUCAGGGUGAUGAAAUCCAACCAACGAGGACUACAGUGUGGGGACAAGCAGGGCAAACAGAGACUUUGCAGUGUACUUACAGCUCCAACGCCUCUUAUAUUUACGUGGCUUGGUACCGGCAGCAUCCCAAUGGGUCCCUGCAGUACUUGCUCCAGAGCAAGGGCCGGGGAGGCUCCUACAUUCACACAGCCCCAUUUGCCCGCAAGAGGUUUUCCGGCAAGGCUGAUGAGAGCUCUGGGACAUUGUUCAUCCAUGCACUGGAGCUGAAGGACAAUGCACUGUAUUACUGCACCCUGCAGGGACCACAGUGAGAGGUACCCCAGGGCACCUAGACAACAUCAAGUUCCUCCACUCCCUCUUGCCUGUUCACAAGUUGUGGUAGGUUUAACUUGGCUGGCUGUCAGCCAACUCUUACUUUCUGGAGGUGGGUGGAGAAAAUAUGGUGAUAAAACUCCUGAGUCAAGCUAAAGACAGGGAGACCACUUACCAGUUUGCAUCACAUGCAGGGCAUUGCCAGGACUGCGUGAGCUGCAGGGCUGGUUUGGGCCGUGUCAGCUGUAGGCCGUUCCCAGAGAGCAAGGGUGCAUCACUGUAUACCACAGAAGGCCCUGUCCUUUCUGCAAGAGCUCCUUUCUCUUAACACUACUUUCUUUCUCCGAAGUCCCCCAAACCCAUAAUGUAAUCUGAAGAAGUUGUUCAGCAUAUUUCUGGUCACCAAAAUAGCUUGCGUAGUUUAGCUGCCUUCAGCCCCUCUCUGCCUGCCUUUGGUCUACUUCUUCACUUGGGCUUUAGAAAAAAUGUUGCCUAUUUCCAUUGUUACUUCCCUCAGUGACCCUUCCCUGUGCCAUUUCCAUGAGCUGGAAAAGGAAAAGCAGUUGUGUGAAGAGCUGUGCUGUGACUCCAAUUGUGUUUCAGGGCAGUAAGAUCCAAGCAAUGAAGUCUGCAUUGCGGGGCUGAGCACAGUACACAGAGAC